rnacentral:misc_RNA from 1 species
UCCGAUUUGUCACCGGCAGUCUCCCUAGAGUCCCCGACAUAACCCGCAGGCAACAUGGAACGAGGGUUGCGCUCGUUGCGGGACUUAACCCAACAUCUCACGACACGAGCUGACGACAGCCAUGCACCACCUGCAUACCAACCACAAGGGAACGCCUAUCUCUAGACGCGUCUGGCGCAUGUCAAACCCAGGUAAGGUUCUUCGCGUUGCAUCGAAUUAAUCCACAUGCUCCACCGCUUGUGCGGGCCCCCGUCAAUUCCUUUGAGUUUCAGCCUUGCGGCCGUACUCCCCAGGCGGGGCACUUAACGCGUUAGCUGCGGCACCGAAGGGGUCGCUCCCCCCGGCACCUAGUGCCCAUCGUUUACAGCGUGGACUAC